ensembl:snRNA U6 U6 spliceosomal RNA
GCUCCCUUUGACAGUGCAUAUAUUAAAACUGAAGCAAUACGGAGAAAAUUGGCUGGGUUUCUGAGCAGAGAUGACUUGGACACUCAUGAGGCACUUAUAUUUUCA